CCCUUAGACGUUCUGGGCCGCACGCGCGCUACACUGACGAAGGCAACGAGCUUUCCUUUACCGAAAGGUACGGGUAAUCUUUUGAAACUUCGUCGUGCUGGGGAUAGAUCCUUGCAAUUAUUGAUCUUAAACGAGGAAUUCCUAGUAAGCGCAAGUCAUCAACUUGCGUUGAUACGUCCCUGCCCUUUGUACACACCGCCCGUCGCUACUACCGAUUGAAUGGUUUAGUGAGGCCUUCGGAUCCGCGACUCGUUUUGUGGAGAAGUUGGACAAACUCAGUCAUUUAGAGGAAGUAAAAGUCGUAACA
rnacentral:rRNA from 1 species